AGGUCCAGGACAGGGAGUUUCCCGAGCAGGAUGGUAGUGGUGAGAUAGGAUACUGCCUGAUAUGGGGAGCCUUGGCUCCUGGACAGGAACCUAACUCCUGGCUUUUUACAGGGAUGACAGUUGGUCUACAGAACCGCAAAUCUAUGUUGAACAGGCUAAGACUUGACCAGUUCCAGCUUUGAGCAACUUGAAGGCCAACUGCCCUGAGUUGAUGAACUCCUGCUUCCUAAUUGGGUUUUUUUGUUUGUUUGUUUUGUUUUUGCUUUUUAAAAACGUCUUGAGUUUAUUAUGGCCAAAGGCUAGGCGAGCAGAGAACCUGCUCAUAGCCGACCUUGAGAAACGUAGGCAGAACGUCCAUUGGCGGCAGAGGGCGGAGGAGGUGUUGGGCCGAGCCCUACGAUAGAGGCUGCAGCAGGAGCCUGUGCUCUCCCUUCUGAUGGCUGCCUGGGAAGUCAGCUCUUCCCCCAGAAAGCCCCAUCUGUAUCUCCGUUGACAUACUGAUGUAGGCUUUAUGAUCACUGCUCGGACCCUCACCUGAGGAAUCAGAUUCUUAUGUACCCGCCUCAGCUUGGCUCGCUUCUGCCCAUUCUUGGUGACGAUUGUCUCCUCAUAGAAUUCGUGAGCCAGAUCUCCAUCUUCAUCGUAGAACAUGGAGCUGUGGAGAGAAGGGGAACAGGCUGGAUUGGAGCCUCAUCCCUGGCCUUGGCAAGGGCCACAGACCACAGGGAAGUACGCUGAACCCCAAGAGAAGACGCACAACGUGCGUUCUCCGUGGAAGAACUCUUUGCUUGGUGCCCGGAGGGAAGCAGGCAGUGUGACAAGGCCACUGUUGCCCUGUCAUACCAACAGGAUGUCACAUCAGAGCACCCUCUCUAGGCAACUAAAACACUAUUCUCGGAGGUCCAACUUCACAGUGAGGAAGGCAAGACACCUAAACAGAAGGUCAUCUUCCCUUAGAUUUCUUCUAAGGCUUAGAAGAACAGAAGGGACAUAAAUGCCUUUAAUUUGCAGGCUGAGUUGGAUGAAAGGGAGGUUUUAAGACUCUUAGAGGCCGUCUUAGCUGAAUUAUGGAGCUGCUCCCUAAGAGACGAACCUCAGGCAAUUCUCUAAAAAGACCAUCUGGGCGGUCAAGAGCUGAACGCCGCUUGGUUUUCCCUUCUCCUUGCUUUGACUGGGACCCAAAAUAUGACAGUCGUCUGAUUCAAA
rnacentral:lncRNA from 1 species